rnacentral:rRNA from 1 species
CCUACGGGAGGCAGCAGUGAGGAAUAUUGGUCAAUGGGCGAGAGUCUGAACCAGCCAAGUAGCGUGAAGGAUGACUGCCCUAUGGGUUGUAAACUUCUUUUAUAUGGGAAUAAAACGUUCCACGUGUGGGAUUUUGUAUGUACCAUAUGAAUAAGGAUCGGCUAACUCCGUGCCAGCAGCCGCGGUAAUACGGAGGAUCCGAGCGUUAUCCGGAUUUAUUGGGUUUAAAGGGAGCGUAGGUGGAUUGUUAAGUCAGUUGUGAAAGUUUGCGGCUCAACCGUAAAAUUGCAGUUGAAACUGGCAGUCUUGAGUACAGUAGAGGUGGGCGGAAUUCGUGGUGUAGCGGUGAAAUGCUUAGAUAUCACGAAGAACUCCGAUUGCGAAGGCAGUUCACUGGACUGCAACUGACACUGAGGCUCGAAAGUGUGGGUAUCAAACAGGAUUAGAUACCCCGGUAGUC